rnacentral:rRNA from 1 species
CCUACGGGUGGCAGCAGUCGAGAAUCAUUCACAAUGGUGGAAACCCUGAUGGUGCGACGCCGCGUGGGGGAAUGAAGGUCUUCGGAUUGUAAACCCCUGUCAUGUGGGAGCAAAUUAAAAAGAUAGUACCACAAGAGGAAGAGACGGCUAACUCUGUUCCAGCAGCCGCGGUAAUACAGAGGUCUCAAGCGUUGUUCGGAAUCACUGGUCGUAAAGCGUGCGUAGGCUGUUUCGUAAGUCGUGUGUGAAAGGCGCGGGCUCAACCCGCGGACGGCACAUGAUACUGCGAGACUAGAGUAAGGGAGGGGGAACCGGAAUUCUCGGUGUAGCAGUGAAAUGCGUAGAUAUCGAGAGGAACACUCGUGGCGAAGGCGGGUUCCUGGACAUUAACUGACGCUGAGGCACGAAGGCCAGGGGAGCGAAAGGGAUUAGAUACCCCUGUAGUC